rnacentral:rRNA from 1 species
CGUAAAGAGUCCGUAGACUGUAAAGUAAGUUUUUUGUUAAAUCUUAAGACCUAAUUUUAAAACAAGCAAUUAAUACUGCUUUACUUUGAGUUUAAUACAGAAAAGUGGAAUUUUAUACGAUAGGGGUGAAAUCUGCAGAUAUAUAAAGGAACAUCAAUAGCGAAGGCAACUUUUUAGUAUAAACUGACGUUGAGGGACGAAAGUGUGGGUAGCAAACAGGAUUAGAGACCCUGGUAGUCCACACCGUAAAUUCUGAGUGCUGUGAUUUAAUUAUAAUAUACAAUUAGAUCUUCAAGCUAACGCAAUAAGCACUCCGCCUGAAGAGUACGAUCUCAAGAUUGGAACUCAAAGGAAUUGACGGGGGUCUAACACUAGUGGUGGAGCAUGUGGUGUAAUGCAAUAAUCCGCGCAAAACCUUACCAAUUCUUGACAUAAUUAAUUUAUAUAAAUGAUAUCUAUCGUUAUUAUUUAUAACGUUUUUUACAGGUGUUGCACGACUGUCGUCAGCUCGUGUCGUGAGAUGUUUGGUUAAGUCCUGAAACGGGCGCAACUCUUAUCUUUAACUAAAAGUAUUUACGAGUUAAUAAAUUUUUUCAAAAUGAGUAUUCAUAAAAAUUUAUUAUAAGCUUUAGAGAUACGAUCAACGAUAAGUUGAAGGAAGGUAAGAAUUAAGUCAAGUCAAUGUGACCCUAAUGAAUUGGGCUACACAUGUGCUACAAUGAAAAUUACAAAAAGUGACAAAAAAGAAAUUUUGAGUUAAUCUACAAAAAUUUUCCCAGUUCGGAUUGUAGACUGCAACUCGUCUACAUGAAGUUGGAAUCACUAGUAAUCGCAAAUCAGCACGUUGCGGUGAAUAUGUCAAUUAGCCUUGUACACACCGCCCGUCACAUGCAGAAAGCCAGCUUUGCUUGAAGAUUUAACUUAGUUAAAUCGAUUGAGAAGUUGGUGAUUUGGAUGAAGUCGUAACAAGGUAGCUGUACGGGAACGUGUAGCUG